rnacentral:rRNA from 1 species
CACUAUCGUUAACUGAAUACAUAGGUUAACGAGGCGAACCGGGGGAACUGAAACAUCUAAGUACCCCGAGGAAAAGAAAUCAACCGAGAUUCCCCCAGUAGCGGCGAGCGAACGGGGAGCAGCCCAGAGUCUGAAUCAGCUUGUGUGUUAGUGGAACGGUCUGGAAAGUCCGACGGUACAGGGUGAUAGUCCCGUACACCAAAAUGCACAGGCUGUGAACUCGAAGAGUAGGGCGGGACACGUGGUAUCCUGUCUGAAUAUGGGGGGACCAUCCUCCAAGGCUAAAUACUCCUGACUGACCGAUAGUGAACCAGUACCGUGAGGGAAAGGCGAAAAGAACCCCGGCGAGGGGAGUGAAAAAGAACCUGAAACCGUGUACGUACAAGCAGUGGGAGCACCUUCGGGUGUGACUGCGUACCUUUUGUAUAAUGGGUCAGCGACUUAUAUUCUGUAGCAAGGUUAACCGUAUAGGGGAGCCGCAGGGAAACCGAGUCUUAACUGGGCGUUAAGUUGCAGGGUAUAGACCCGAAACCCGGUGAUCUAGCCAUGGGCAGGUUGAAGGUUGGGUAACACUAACUGGAGGACCGAACCGACUAAUGUUGAAAAAUUAGCGGAUGACUUGUGGCUGGGGGUGAAAGGCCAAUCAAACCGGGAGAUAGCUGGUUCUCCCCGAAAGCUAUUUAGGUAGCGCCUCGUGAACUCAUCUUCGGGGGUAGAGCACUGUUUCGGCUAGGGGGUCAUCCCGACUUACCAACCCGAUGCAAACUACGAAUACCGAAGAAUGUUAUCACGGGAGACACACGGCGGGUGCUAACGUCCGUCGUGAAGAGGGAAACAACCCAGACCGCCAGCUAAGGUCCCAAAGUCAUGGUUAAGUGGGAAACGAUGUGGGAAGGCACAGACAGCCAGGAUGUUGGCUUAGAAGCAGCCAUCAUUUAAAGAAAGCGUAAUAGCUCACUGGUCGAGUCGGCCUGCGCGGAAGAUGUAACGGGGCUAAACCAUGCACCGAAGCUGCGGCAGCGACACUAUGUGUUGUUGGGUAGGGGAGCGUUCUGUAAGCCUGCGAAGGUGACCUGUGAGGGUUGCUGGAGGUAUCAGAAGUGCGAAUGCUGACAUAAGUAACGAUAAAGCGGGUGAAAAGCCCGCUCGCCGGAAGACCAAGGGUUCCUGUCCAACGUUAAUCGGGGCAGGGUGAGUCGACCCCUAAGGCGAGGCCGAAAGGCGUAGUCGAUGGGAAACAGGUUAAUAUUCCUGUACUUGGUGUUACUGCGAAGGGGGGACGGAGAAGGCUAUGUUAGCCGGGCGACGGUUGUCCCGGUUUAAGCAUGUAGGCUGGUUGUCCAGGCAAAUCCGGAUAAUCAAGGCUGAGGUGUGAUGACGAGGCACUACGGUGCUGAAGUAACAAAUGCCCUGCUUCCAGGAAAAGCCUCUAAGCAUCAGGUAACAUCAAAUCGUACCCCAAACCGACACAGGUGGUCAGGUAGAGAAUACCAAGGCGCUUGAGAGAACUCGGGUGAAGGAACUAGGCAAAAUGGUGCCGUAACUUCGGGAGAAGGCACGCUGGUGUGUAGGUGAAGUCCCUGCGGAUGGAGCUGAGACCAGUCGAAGAUACCAGCUGGCUGCAACUGUUUAUUAAAAACACAGCACUGUGCAAACACGAAAGUGGACGUAUACGGUGUGACGCCUGCCCGGUGCCGGAAGGUUAAUUGAUGGGGUUAUCCGUAAGGAGAAGCUCUUGAUCGAAGCCCCGGUAAACGGCGGCCGUAACUAUAACGGUCCUAAGGUAGCGAAAUUCCUUGUCGGGUAAGUUCCGACCUGCACGAAUGGCGUAAUGAUGGCCAGGCUGUCUCCACCCGAGACUCAGUGAAAUUGAACUCGCUGUGAAGAUGCAGUGUACCCGCGGCAAGACGGAAAGACCCCGUGAACCUUUACUAUAGCUUGACACUGAACAUUGAGCCUUGAUGUGUAGGAUAGGUGGGAGGCUUUGAAGCGUGGACGCCAGUCUGCGUGGAGCCAACCUUGAAAUACCACCCUUUAAUGUUUGAUGUUCUAACGUUGGCCCCUGACCGGGGUUGCGGACAGUGUCUGGUGGGUAGUUUGACUGGGGCGGUCUCCUCCCAAAGCGUAACGGAGGAGCACGAAGGUUAGCUAAUCCUGGUCGGACAUCAGGAGGUUAGUGCAAUGGCAUAAGCUAGCUUGACUGCGAGCGUGACGGCGCGAGCAGGUGCGAAAGCAGGUCAUAGUGAUCCGGUGGUUCUGAAUGGAAGGGCCAUCGCUCAACGGAUAAAAGGUACUCCGGGGAUAACAGGCUGAUACCGCCCAAGAGUUCAUAUCGACGGCGGUGUUUGGCACCUCGAUGUCGGCUCAUCACAUCCUGGGGCUGAAGUAGGUCCCAAGGGUAUGGCUGUUCGCCAUUUAAAGUGGUACGCGAGCUGGGUUUAGAACGUCGUGAGACAGUUCGGUCCCUAUCUGCCGUGGGCGCUGGAGAAUUGAGGGGGGCUGCUCCUAGUACGAGAGGACCGGAGUGGACGCAUCACUGGUGUUCGGGUUGUCAUGCCAAUGGCACUGCCCGGUAGCUAAAUGCGGAAGAGAUAAGUGCUGAAAGCAUCUAAGCACGAAACUUGCCCCGAGAUGAGUUCUCCCUGAGACUUUAAGUCUCCUGAAGGAACGUUAAAGACGAUGACGUUGAUAGGCCGGGUGUGUAAGCGCAGCGAUGCGUUGAGCUAACCGGUACUAAUGAACCGUGAGGCUUAACCUU